rnacentral:rRNA from 1 species
GAAUAUUGGACAAUGGGCGCAAGCCUGAUCCAGCAAUGCCGCGUGUGUGAAGAAGGCCUGCGGGUUGUAAAGCACUUUAAGCAGGAAAGAAGGGCGGGGUGUUAAUACCAUCUCGCAUUGACGUUACCUGCAGAAUAAGCACCGGCUAACUCCGUGCCAGCAGCCGCGGUAAUACGGAGGGUGCGAGCGUUAAUCGGAAUUACUGGGCGUAAAGCGCGCGUAGGCGGUUUGUUAAGUCAGCUGUGAAAGCCCCGGGCUUAACCUGGGAAUGGCAGUUGAUACUGGCAAGCUAGAGUGUGGUAGAGGGUAGUGGAAUUUCCGGUGUAGCAGUGAAAUGCGUAGAGAUCGGAAGGAACACCAGUGGCGAAGGCGGCUACCUGGACCAACACUGACGCUGAGGUGCGAAAGCGUGGGGAGCAAACAG